rnacentral:rRNA from 1 species
AGGAAGUAAAAGUCGUAACAAGGUUUCCGUAGGUGAACCUGCGGAAGGAUCAUUAUUGAAUUGAAACAGAUUGAGAUUGUAGCUGGCUUCUGUAAUGAAGUAAUGUGCACAUUUCAUUUUGUUAUCCAAAACUUUGUACCUCUGUGCACAUCGCAUGAGUUUGAGUUGUUAUUUUUAAAAGUAUAACAAAAGUAUCUCAGCUCAUGUGCUUUUAAUAUACACCUGUUUGUUUGAAGAAUGUUGCUAUUUUGUGCUUUAAUUGCAUAUGUAAAUAUAACUUUCAGCAACGGAUCUCUUGGCUCUCGCAUCGAUGAAGAACGCAGCGAAAUGCGAUAAGUAAUGUGAAUUGCAGAAUUCAGUGAACCAUCGAAUCUUUGAACGCACCUUGCACUCCUUGGUAUUCCGAGGAGUAUGUCUGUUUGAGUGUCAUGGUAUUUUCAACUCCUUUCACAUCUGUGUCAGGUAAGAUUGGACUUUGGAGGCUUGUUUUUGCUGGACUUUUUAGUUUGGCUCCUCUAAAUUUUAUUAGCUUGAACAGUAUUUUCACUAAGCAUGAUUUGGCAUGAUAAUAAGUCUAUGUCUUUUUAUGCUGAUGUGUUUCUAUUGAUUUCAAGCUUUUGCACGAUGUCUCUUUUAUUAUUUUUUUUUUUGGAGACUCACUUUGAAACAUUUGACCUCAAAUCAGAUAGGACUACCCGCUGAACUUAAGCAUAUCNNNNNNNNNNNNNNNNNNNNNNNNNNAGGAUUCCCUUAGUAACUGCGAGUGAAGUGGGAAAAGCUCAAAUUUAAAAUCUGGCAGCUUUGUUGCCCGAGUUGUAGUCUGGAGAAGUGUUUUCUGUGCUGGACCAUGUACAAGUCUCUUGGAACAGAGCGUCAUAGAGGGUGAGAAUCCCGUCUUUGACAUGGACUGCCAGUGCUCUGAGAUGCGCUCUCAACGAGUCGAGUUGUUUGGGAAUGCAGCUCAAAAUGGGUGGUAAAUUCCAUCUAAAGCUAAAUAUUGGCGAGAGACCGAUAGUGAACAAGUACCGUGAGGGAAAGAUGAAAAGCACUUUGGAAAGAGAGUUAAACAGUACGUGAAAUUGCUGAAAGGGAAACACUUGAAGUCAGUCAUGUUGGUUGGAACUCAGCCUGACUUUUGUCUGGUGCAUUUUCUGAUUGACAGGUCAGUAUCAAUUUUGACUGCUGGAUAAGAACCUAGGAAAUGUGGCACCUUUGGGUGUGUUAUAGUCUUUGGUCACAUACAGUGGUUGGGAUUGAGGAUCUCAGUAUGCCUUACAGGUCGGGGUUUACCCACGUUCAUACUUAGGAUGCUGGCGUAAUGGCUUUAAAUGACCCGUCUUGAAACACGGACCAAGGAGUCUAACAUACCUGCGAGUGUUUGGGUGGAAAACCUGAGUGCAUAAUGAAAGUGAAAGUUGGGAUCUCUGUCAUGGAGAGCACUGACGCCCGGACCAGACCUUUUGUGAUGGAUCCGCGGUAGAGCAUGUAUGUUGGGACCCGAAAGAUGGUGAACUAUGCCUGAAUAGGGUGAAGCCAGAGGAAACUCUGGUGGAGGCUCGUAGCGAUUCUGACGUGCAAAUCGAUCGUCAAAUUUGGGUAUAGGGGCGAAAGACUAAUCGAACCAUCUAGUAGCUGGUUCCUGCCGAAGUUUCCCUC